ACAUCCUACUCAUCUUUAGUCUCAACUCAAAUGUCACCUCUUUAAAGAGCUUUACUGACUUACCCGAGAGAAAUACUGUCUACCCACAGGACUAUGAGCCAGCUUAAAGAAGAGAAUUGAUUUCCCAAUGACCAUGGAUAACAGUGUGCUUAUAAAAACCCAAGUGUGGUGCCUGGCAUAGAGGUACUCAACAAUGGGCACCAGUUUCCUUUCGGAUCCCUCAGUUGGGGACACAAGGUGACACUAAACUUUGGAACCACUCAGAAGUUGUUUUGGAUCUUUGCAAGACCUUCUCCCACUAUGUGACUUCUAGCAAUCUUCAGGGCAGAAUGUGAAUGCACCUACGAAGCUCAUGAAUAUUAAUACAGGGGACAAUACCUUCCCCUCUAAAUCCCUCUCACCCUAUAGCUAUUACUGAACAACUAAAUGGGAACACGUAACAGUUUGUAAUUACUUUUUGUUUUUAAAGAAAAGCUACCAAUUCAGGUAUCUGCGCUAGAAGCAACAAUCUAAUUUAUUCUUGUAGGCCUGUAUCACACACCACACAUUUAUCCAAAGACCCAGCUCCAGCUUGCAUUUAAUAACUCCAAAUGAGUUGUCUGACCCCUUUAAACAGGAAAUUGGCAUAUAAAGGACCCCAAGGGCAGAGGAAGGAUAAAAGUGUCCAUAGAUUCCACCCCCCAUCAUUUUCAGAAUAAAUUAUGGCAUUUUAUUUGACUCACUAACCCAAUAAUGUACUACUGUAACAAUAGAUUGUAAUUUGUGCUGGAAAU